UACGGAGGAUCCGAGCGUUAUCCGGAUUUAUUGGGUUUAAAGGGUGCGUAGGCGGGAGAUUAAGUCGGUGGUGAAAUUUUGCAGCUCAACUGUAAAAGUGCCAUUGAUACUGGUUUCCUUGAGUGUGGAUGAAGUAGGCGGAAUUUGUGGUGUAGCGGUGAAAUGCAUAGAUAUCACGAGGAACUCCGAUUGCGCAGGCAGCUUACUAAACCAUAACUGACGCUCAGGCACGAAGGCGUGGGGAUCAAACAGGAUUAGAUACCCGGGUA
rnacentral:rRNA from 1 species